ACUGGUCAGCUAGAGUCUUGUAGAGGGGGGUAGAAUUCCAUGUGUAGCGGUGAAAUGCGUAGAGAUGUGGAGGAAUACCGGUGGCGAAGGCGGCCCCCUGGACAAAGACUGACGCUCAGGUGCGAAAGCGUGGGGAGCAAACAGGAUUAGAUACCCUGGUAGUCCACGCUGUAAACGAUGUCGAUUUGGAGGUUGUUCCCUUGAGGAGUGGCUUCCGGAGCUAACGCGUUAAAUCGACCGCCUGGGGAGUACGGCCGCAAGGUUAAAACUCAAAUGAAUUGACGGGGCCCGCAC
rnacentral:rRNA from 1 species